rnacentral:lncRNA from 1 species
UAGGGCUCGUUUGGUUCGCGGGAAGCAUUUUCCUUCCUAGGAAUAUGAUUCCUGGGAAACAAAUUCCUAGGAAGAGGAUGCCUAGGAAAGUACUUUUGGCAUGUUUGGUUGACCAUGGGAAAGUGACAAAUUUCCAAGAUGCUUAUGUUUGGUUGGCCAUCCAAUUUCCUAGGAAAGUUAUAUAUAAUUCCUAUUAUGCCCUUAAUAAAAAUUAGGUUUUUAAUGCCUCUUUAAUGCUUCUUUAAUGCUGAAGGGACUUUUUGGGAAAAAGUAAAAAUGGAGUGAUUCCCGCCUCAUGGGAAAGUAACUUUCCCAUGUUUCUCAUGGGAAAGACUUUCCCAUGAAAUGUGGGAAUCACAUUUCCAUGGGAAUACAACUUUCCCUUCUCUCUCCUUUGAAAACUCCAACCAAACAAGAGGCAUCUCAUUACUUUUCCGUUGACCACACUUUCCCCCCUUCUUUUCCCGCGAACCAAACGAGCCCCUAG